UUCCACAAUAGACUGGUCGGAGAAGGAAGGAAGAGAUGAGGCAGCGAUGAUGAUUGGUUGUACGGAAAGUUCAUCACUCUUCGUUUCAUAUUUGACUUCCCUAGCCAAGAUAAGCUUCUCGAAGGUUUCUAAUGGCAGAUCCAUUUAGUAAAUGUUUUCUAUGUCGUUUUCUAUCUUGUUAGCAUCUUCAUCUAUAAUCAAAUCCCCAAUGUUCUGCAUCCAUACUUCUCUUCUCUUACCUCUUCUCAGUUUCUCUCAAUUUUACGAUUUUGCCCGAAAUUAGAUAUAGAAAGCUUAGAAGAUGAGCGACAAGACUUGUGAAACUCUCUCAUCCAUAAUGGCAUCACAAUCACAUAUUAUCCCAGUCGCUAUUUCUCUCCAUUUCUCAUGAAAUAGGAGAAGAGCUGGAAGCUGACAGGGUCGAUACAUUGUUUAUAGUGAUUCAGUUGGGAUUUUUGUCAUCUCACAUAGUUACAGUGGAGUGGUAGCCCGAGCAUGUGGUCUUGCUAGUUUAGAACCAACAAAGAUUGCUGAGAUCCUCAAAGAUCGAACUGCUUGGUUUCAAGACUGCUGAAACGUCUAAGUUUUCACAAUGUUUUUUGUAGGAAAUGGUGGUACAAUUUAGCUUUUAUAUACACAAUGCAUAGCACACUUUUUUUGCAGCUAGUGAACCAUUUUCCUUCAUGGAUGUAAAUUAUCCAGUGAUAAUUGUUGACGAGGCAACCGUUGGUGUCUUGUAAUCGUAUUAUAUAAUUAGUUUCGAUAAUGUUAUUGCAUGAUUGGAUCGGGUCACAAUGAUUAGAGUGAAUGAUAUGUUUAACAAUUGAACCGGGUAGUAAGGAUAAUAUAAAUGUAUUCAUGGUGGAGUUGAAUACAUUGUAUGGCAUAACUAAGCUCUCCCAACCAAUGAUAUGCAAACAAUUUUA